CAAAAAUAACCAGCCACCAUAAAGAUUAAAGAGACAAAAAAUUGUGUAUAUCUUGGUGUAGAUCAUUUAUCCUCAAUUUCUUAUAAUAAAACUAAAAAUACUAUUAAACUUUGGGUUUUACCUGUAACUACAAACUCUUUACAGAAGUUCAAUGUUUGCUCUGAGAAGUUAAAUGAACAAAAUUUAUUAAAUGAUAAAGUUGUAUCCUUGAAAGAUAUGCUGGUAUUAUUGGCACAAUGGGCAAGCAUUGAAGUGCAACUUGGUGAACUACAAAAUACAUCAAAAUCAGUUAUAAAAGUUUGAGUAUCAAAGGUGUGCUAAUUAUUGUAUUGCCUGAAAGAGUGUCAUAGCCAUUAAAAGCAGUGAAGAAUUCAAGUACUCUGGAAGAAAAAAGACAAGAAAACACUUCAGUAAAUGGCUGUGUAUUUUUGCAAGUUAAUUUUUUGGCACAAAUUGGAGUUAAAGACGAAGGAGAUUGUAUAUGUUAUUUACUAAGAAUAGUUUGUUAAAAUGGCCUAGCUGUAAAAUUAAAAUUAUGCAGGGAGAGGUUAAAAAAUUGGAAUAGGAAAAAGGUUGAUUGCAUAUGCUCCUAUUGGUAAAUGGUUUAGAAAAGUUUAUUUUUUCAGUUUCAAUUUUGUAUUACAGAAUUACUUUCAAUUUGUUAUUUUUCUUUGGUGCAUAAUUAAACAAACAACUAUUUUUUUUUUGCAGAAACUAUGAAGUCAAAUAAGCAGGGCUUAUGCAGACAUGUGAUGGAGAUAGCAGAAGAAAAAAUAAUAAUCGUGGGCACCAAAUAUCAUAAGCUAAACAUGAUUCAAUAACAAGUAGCUCAGUCAAUAUUGAAACUACUCUAUAAA